rnacentral:rRNA from 1 species
UACGUAGGGUGCAGGCGUUAAUCGGAAUUACUGGGCGUAAAGCGUGCGCAGGCGGUUUCCUAAGUCAGAUGUGAAAGCCCCGGGCUUAACCUGGGAACUGCGUUUGAAACUGGGAGACUUGAGUGUGGCAGAGGGGGGUGGAAUUCCACGUGUAGCAGUGAAAUGCGUAGAUAUGUGGAGGAACACCGAUGGCGAAGGCAGCCCCUGGGUUAACACUGACGCUCAUGCACGAAAGCGUGGGGAGCAAACAGG